rnacentral:lncRNA from 1 species
GAGGUCAGCCUGGGGAGUUGCCAACAAACAUCUACUAACCCUAGACAGAAACCAACAGCCAACCAUAGUGAGGAUACCACCAAAGUCCAACUUGAAGAACCAAUACCAUUUAUUGGGAUUACAUAGAAGAGUAUAGGUGAAGGGUUAUUUAUAAGAGCAGAAAUGACUCAAAGCUGGAUUACCAAAGUCCACCCCAGCAUGGGUGCAGCUACUGAAAACCUGAAGCACACUGUUCAGCCUACUGGCAGUCCAACAGGUUGGAAAGUGUCCUUUCUGGGUAGCUCAGUUGGUCUGAGACUCUUCUAGAGCCUGCCACUGUUAUGAAUCAUAAUUAAAUACCCGUGUUUUCCCAUAGUCUUAAACUGCUUCUGUGAAAGGGUAAUCGGAUCUCAAAGGGGGUUGUGACCCACAAGUUGAGAAGCACUGCUUUAGAGCAUCUCUCAGCAGUCCUGACUGCCUGGAUAUGCUUGGGGGGAAGUUUCAAGACCUUUCUGAAGCCUUUGACUUGCUUAUUUCCUGAACGUAACUACCUUCCCUUCAGGAUGGAAAGCUUUACCUCGCCAUAGAACACCCUGUGUCUUAUACUUCCUUCUAAGGUGGAUGCUCCAGGAAAUUGCUACACAAUGCUGGGUUAUAAGUAUGAUGCUGAGAUCAAGUCUAACAUCUCAAAAAAAAUACUGUACAAAAAUCUGCACCAUGGCACAGAUGGCACACAUGCCAGGCAGUGUGAUCAGCAUGUCUGGGAUCUAAAUGUAAAGUCAUGCCUCACUCUUGAGUAUUGAAAGUUUGAAAACCAGAGGCUGAGGAGGUGGCUCAGUAAGUAAAAUGUCUGCUACAUGAGGACCUCAGUUUCGACCCCAGCGCCCAGAUAAAUGUCGGGUGUGAUGCCACAUGCCUGUAAGCCCAGCACUGAAGCAAAGAACGGUGGACAAGUCUUGGAGGGCUUCCUAACCAAUCGGCCUCACCAAAAUGAUUUAGUGAGAGACUGUGCCUCAAAAAAC